AAACAAGUUGCAGUCAAGAAAGCCACGAAUGGAACCUUUACUGAAUCACAUAUUCGCACAGAAGGAUAAAAGCUUUGGAUCAGAUGGAUGGGAUGAGGAAUAUAUGGACAACAAGUCCAUGGAAUGUUUGCUGAAUCACAUAUUUGCACAGAUGGAUAAAAGCUUUGGAUCAGAUAGAUGGGAUGAGGAAUAUGAUGACAGCAACUCCAAAGAAGGUUGCUAUUUUGUUAGGGGCAAUAUGGAUGCUUGGCAGGCUAAUGUUGCUUCUGGAAGUACAUGGAGCAAUCACAACAUAGAUAAAAAG
rnacentral:misc_RNA from 1 species